rnacentral:rRNA from 1 species
GACGAACCGAGCGAACGUUGUUCGGAAUCACUGGGCUUAAAGGGCGCGUAGGCGGGUGCUCAAGUCCGGGGUGAAAUCCUCCAGCUCAACUGGAGAACUGCCUCGGAUACUGGGUGCCUCGAGGGUGGCAGGGGUAUGCGGAACUAUCGGUGGAGCGGUGAAAUGCGUUGAUAUCGAUAGGAACUCCGGUGGCGAAGGCGGCAUACUGGUCCACUUCUGACGCUGAGGCGCGAAAGCCAGGGGAGCCAAAGCGGG